rnacentral:rRNA from 1 species
UACAGAGGGUGCAAGCGUUAAUCGGAGUUACUGGGCGUAAAGGGCGCGUAGGCGGUUGUUUAAGUUAGAUGUGAAAUCCCUGGGCUUAACCUAGGAACUGCAUCUGAUACUGGAUGACUAGAGUACUGUAGAGGGUAGUGGAAUUUCCGGUGUAGCGGUGAAAUGCGUAGAGAUCGGAAGGAACACCAGUGGCGAAGGCGGCUACCUGGACAGAUACUGACGCUGAGGCGCGAGAGCGUGGGGAGCAAACAGG